rnacentral:rRNA from 1 species
UACGUAGGGUGCAAGCGUUAAUUGGAAUUACUGGGCGUAAAGCGUGCGCAGGCGGUUAUGCAAGACAGAUGUGAAAUCCCCGGGCUCAACCUGGGAACUGCAUUUGUGACUGCAUGGCUAGAGUACGGUAGAGGGGGAUGGAAUUCCGCGUGCAGCAGUGAAAUGCGUAGAUAUGCGGAGGAACACCGAUGGCGAAGGCAAUCCCCUGGACCUGUACUGACGCUCAUGCACGAAAGCGUGGGGAGCAAACAGG